AAACACUCACUCUUCUGAUCUAGGGUUUUACAGCUUUCACUUUCCUCCAUAAGAAAGACGCAGCUAAUGGUAAUAUGGAAUUGGAGAUGUAGCAAUAGAAGAAUACAGAUGGAAGGCCUGAUAGUUGAUGAUUGCAAAUUGUAAAGUUGGAUUUAAGAAAUUGAAGUUUUUCACUCUAAAAGUAAUGCUCAACAAAAUGCAUUUGGAAAACGCAUUUGUUUGUGUUCAAGUUGUAUAUAUAGUUCACGAUAUUUUUUGUAGCUUCUGAACUUAAAUAUAUUUUUUGUUCAAAAUUUUUGUGUAUGUUUUUAAGUUGUUAGCUAUGUAAUCUAUUGAGCUAAGCAGCCAAAGUGACUCAUUUUGAAGGUCGAAUGUGUUGAAGUGUAG